CCUGGAUCCUCCUACGGGAGUCAGCAGUAGGGAAUCUUCGGCAAUGGACGGACGUCUUACCGAGCAACGCCGCGUGAGUGAAGAAGGUUUUCGGAUCGUAAAGCUCUGUUGUAAGAGAAGAACGAGUGUGAGAGUGGAAAGUUCACACUGUGACGGUAUCUUACCAGAAAGGGACGGCUAACUACGUGCCAGCAGCCGCGGUAAUACGUAGGUCCCGAGCGUUGUCCGGAUUUAUUGGGCGUAAAGCGAGCGCAGGCGGUUAGAUAAGUCUGAAGUUAAAGGCUGUGGCUUAACCAUAGUACGCUUUGGAAACUGUUUAACUUGAGUGCAAGAGGGGAGAGUGGAAUUCCAUGUGUAGCGGUGAAAUGCGUAGAUAUAUGGAGGAACACCGGUGGCGAAAGCGGCUCUCUGGCUUGUAACUGACGCUGAGGCUCGAAAGCGUGGGGAGCAAACAGGAUUAGAUACCCCGGUAGUCCUAUC
rnacentral:rRNA from 1 species